rnacentral:rRNA from 1 species
ACGACCGCUGGCGGCAGGCCUAACACAUGCAAGUCGAACGCGUGCCUUCGGGCACGAGUGGCGGACGGGUGAGUAACGCGUGGGAAUUUGCCUUGGGGUACGGAAUAACCGCGGGAAACUGCGGCUAAUACCGUAUACGUCCUUCGGGAGAAAGAUUUAUCGCCCUGAGAUGAGCCCGCGUCCGAUUAGGUAGUUGGUGAGGUAACGGCUCACCAAGCCUUCGAUCGGUAGCUGGUCUGAGAGGAUGAUCAGCCACACUGGGACUGAGACACGGCCCAGACUCCUACGGGAGGCAGCAGUGGGGAAUAUUGGACAAUGGGGGAAACCCUGAUCCAGCCAUGCCGCGUGAGUGAAGAAGGCCUUAGGGUUGUAAAGCUCUUUCGGUGGUGACGAUGAUGACGGUAGCCACAGAAGAAGCCCCGGCUAACUCCGUGCCAGCAGCCGCGGUAAUACGGAGGGGGCAAGCGUUGUUCGGAAUUACUGGGCGUAAAGGGCGCGUAGGCGGAUGAUCAAGUCAGAGGUGAAAGCCCUGGGCUCAACCUAGGAGGUGCCUUUGAAACUGAUUGUCUUGAGUACGGGAGAGGAUAGCGGAAUUCCCAGUGUAGAGGUGAAAUUCGUAGAUAUUGGGAAGAACACCAGUGGCGAAGGCGGCUAUCUGGCCCGUAACUGACCCUGAGCGCGAAAGCCUGGGGGAGCAAACCGGAUUAGAAUACCCUGGUA